rnacentral:misc_RNA from 1 species
ACAUCCUCAACCUGCUUGGUUUUUUCUCAAACCCAAGUAGGCUUGGAAUUUGGAGGUUUUCUGCUGGCCUCCUCCGAAGCCAGCUUCUCUUAAAUCUAUUAAUGGGAUCCACUUUGCCACAUCCUCAAUGUUGAUAAGAUGUUUCUACUAGUGUUGGGUUUUGCUCGUGAAGAACCUGCUUCUAACCGUCCCACCAGGGACAAUGUUCGAGCCAAUUGCCCCUUCACUGGGUUGAGAAGCUUUUGACCCAUGAAA